rnacentral:rRNA from 1 species
GCGUGAGUGAUGAAGGCCUUCGGGUUGUAAAACUCUUUUACCCGGGAAGAUAAUGACUGUACCGGGAGAAUAAGCUCCGGCUAACUUCGUGCCAGCAGCCGCGGUAAUACGAAGGGGGCUAGCGUUGUUCGGAAUUACUGGGCGUAAAGCGCGCGCAGGCGGCCAUUCAAGUCAGGGGUGAAAGCCCAGAGCUCAACUCUGGAACUGCCUUUGAAACUGUAUGGCUUGAGUAUGAGAGAGGUGAGUGGAAUUCCCAGUGUAGAGGUGAAAUUCGU